rnacentral:sRNA from 1 species
CGAAAGCCUGACGGAGCAAUACCGCGUGGGGGAGGAAGGCUCUUGGGUCGUAAACCUCUUUUCUCAGGGAAGAACACAAUGACGGUACCUGAGGAAUAAGCAUCGGCUAACUCCGUGCCAGCAGCCGCGGUAAUACGGAGGAUGCAAGCGUUAUCCGGAAUGAUUGGGCGUAAAGCGUCCGCAGGUGGCAGUGUAAGUCUGCUGUCAAAGGUCAGGGCUUAACCCUGAACAGGCAGUGGAAACUACACAGCUAGAGUGCGGUGGGGGCAGAGGGAAUUCCCAGUGUAGCGGUGAAAUGCGUAGAGAUUGGGAAGAACACCGGUGGCGAAAGCGCUCUGCUAGGCCGUAACUGACACUCAUGGACGAAAGCUAGGGGAGCGAAUGGGAUUAGAUACCCCAGUAGUCCUAGCCGUAAACGAUGGAUACUAGGCGUAGCUCGUAUCGACCCGAGCUGUGCCGUAGCUAACGCGUUAAGUAUCCCGCCUGGGGAGUACGCUCGCAAGAGUGAAACUCAAAGGAAUUGACGGGGGCCCGCACAAGCGGUGGAGUAUGUGGUUUAAUUCGAUGCAACGCGAAGAACCUUACCAGGGCUUGACAUGUCCGGAAUCUCCGGGAAACUGGAGAGUGCCUUAGGGAGCCGGAGCACAGGUGGUGCAUGGCUGUCGUCAGCUCGUGUCGUGAGAUGUUGGGUUAAGUCCCGCAACGAGCGCAACCCUCGUGUUUAGUUGCCAGCGGGUAAAGCCGGGCACUCUAGAGAGACUGCCGGUGACAAACCGGAGGAAGGUGGGGAUGACGUCAAGUCAGCAUGCCCCUUACGUCCUGGGCUACACACAUACUACAAUGCUACGGACAAAGGGCAGCAAGCAUGCGAAUGCAAGCAAAUCCCAUAAACCGUGGCUCAGUUCAGAUUGCAGGCUGCAACUCGCCUGCAUGAAGUUGGAAUCGCUAGUAAUCGCAGGUCAGCACUACUGCGGUGAAUACGUUCCCGGGCCUUGUACACACCGCCCGUCACACCAUGGAAGCUGGUUUAGCCCGAAGUCGUUACCCUAACCGCAAGGAAGGGGACGCCGAAGGCAGGGCUGGUGACUGGGGUGAAGUCGUAACAAGGUAGCCGUACCGGAAGGUGUGGCUGGAUCACCUCCUUUACAGGGAGACCUACUUCCUCCAAACCUAGAUUCUGUAAUGGUUUAGAGAGAAGAUAUCCCGUUAGGUCGGUCGAAGACAGUGACAAAAGGCUUUCCAACUAUAAAUGGUUCGGGUAAUUGGAACUACCCACUCUUGUGUGGGCGAGCUCCAAACGGAAGAGUUGGCAACAAUUCAGCAAUAUGGUGUGGUAACACACAUCAGACUGCUGGAAGUAGUCCAGCACAGAACCUUGAAAACUGCAUAGCAACGCAAUAAUAGCAGGCGGUUAGUCUAGAGUAAGAAAUUACGACAGACUUCACGCGAAAGAUAUGACUGUGGUCAAGCUAAUAAGGGCUUACGGCGGAUACCUAGGCACACAGAGGCGAAGAAGGACGUGGCGACCGACGAAAAGCUCCGGGGAGUUGGAAGCAAGCUAUGAUCCGGAGAUAUCCGAAUGGGGCAACCCUAAAAACAGCCUGUUGAAUAUAUAGACAGGCAUGAGCCAACCCAGCGAACUGAAACAUCUUAGUAGCUGGAGGAAAAGAAAGAAAAAUCGAUUCCCUCAGUAGUGGUGAGCGAAAGGGGAAGAGCCUAAACCAGGCGAUUUAUUGCCUGGGGUCGUGGGACAGCGACAUGGAAGCCAGAAGCUAGACGAAGCAGGUGGAAUACUGCACCAGAGGGAGUGAUAGUCCCGUAGUCGAAAGCGGAAGGAUACUAGCUGCAUCCCGAGUAGCACGGGGCACGAGGAAUCCCGUGUGAAUCAGCCGAGACCACUCGGUAAGGCUAAAUACUACUGUGUGACCGAUAGUGAACCAGUACCGCGAGGGAAAGGUGAAAAGAACCCCGAAAGGGGAGUGAAAUAGAACAUGAAACCGUAAGCCUACAAGCAGUGGGAGGACGAUUCAACGUCUGACCGCGUGCCUGUUGAAGAAUGAGCCGGCGACUUAUAGGCAGUGGCGGGUUAAGGCACUUUGUGCUGAAGCCAAAGCGAAAGCGAGUCUGAACAGGGCGAAAUAAGUCACUGACUAUAGACCCGAACCCGGGUGAUCUAACCAUGUCCAGGAUGAAGCUUGGGUAAAGCCAAGUGGAGGUCCGCACCGACCGAUGUUGAAAAAUCGGCGGAUGAGGUGUGGUUAGGGGUGAAAUACCAAUCGAACCCGGAGCUAGCUGGUUCUCCCCGAAAUGUGUUGAGGCGCAGCGGUUGUGAUUAUAGCCUGGGGGUAAAGCACUGUUUCGGUACGGGCUGCUAACGCGGUACCAAAUCGAGACAAACUCUGAAUACCAGGUGGACACACAGCCAGUGAGACGGUGGGGGAUAAGCUUCAUCGUCAAGAGGGAAACAGCCCAGACCACCAGCUAAGGUCCCCAAAUUGUCACUAAGUGAUAAAGGAGGUGGGAGUGCAAAGACAACCAGGAGGUUUGCCUAGAAGCAGCCACCCUUGGAAGAGUGCGUAAUAGCUCACUGGUCAAGCGCUCUCGCGCCGAAAAUGAACGGGGCUAAGUGACGUACCGAAGCUGUGGGAUAAGCAAUUAUCGGUAGGGGAGCGUUCCGCAGUAGGGUGAAGCACUAGCGGCAAGCAGGUGUGGACGAGGCGGAAGUGAGAAUGUCGGCUUGAGUAGCGAAAACAUUGGUGAGAAUCCAAUGCCCCGAAACCCUAAGGGUUCCAGAGCAAGGUUCGUCCGCUCUGGGUUAGUCAGGACCUAAGGCGAGGCCAAACGGCGUAGUCGAUGGACAACGGGUCAACAAUCCCGUACUGAGAUUGAUUUGUGCAGAGGGACGGAGAAGGCAACCACGAGCCGGAUGUUGGUUACCGGUUCAACUGUCAAGGCGUUGAGAAGCGGCGAAAACGCUUUGAGCUGAGACAGGAGUACGAGGGUCCACGGACCCGAAGUCGUGUAGUCAUGCUUACAAGAAAAGCUCUAAGCACGUUAAGUCAAUAUUACCUGUACCCGAAACCGACACAGGUAGGGAGGUUGAGUAAACUAAGGGGCGCGAGAUAACUCUCUCUAAGGAACUCGGCAAAAUGGCCCCGUAACUUUGGAAGAAGGGGUGCCCAUGCAAAUGGGUCGCAGUGAAGAGAUCCAGGCGACUGUUUACCAAAAACACAGGUCUCCGCUAAGUCAAAUGACGAUGUAUGGGGGCUGACGCCUGCCCAGUGCCGGAAGGUUAAGGAAGUCGGUCAGGGGGCAACCCUAAAGCUGGCGACUGAAGCCCCGGUGAACGGCGGCCGUAACUAUAACGGUCCUAAGGUAGCGAAAUUCCUUGUCGGGUAAGUUCCGACCCGCACGAAAGGCGUAACGAUCUGGAUGGUGUCUCAGAGAGAGACUCGGCGAAAUAGGAAUGUCUGUGAAGAUACGGACUGCCUGCACCUGGACAGAAAGACCCUACGAAGCUUUACUGUAGCCUGGAAUUGGGUUCGGGCUUCGCUUGCGCAGGAUAGGUGGGAGGCAUUGAUACUGCCCUUGUGGGGGCAGUGGAGCCAACGGUGAGAUACCACUCUGGUGAAGCUAGAAUUCUAACCUGUAGCCGUGAAUCCGGCACGGGAACCGUUUCAGGUGGGCAGUUUGACUGGGGCGGUCGCCUCCUAAAUUGUAGCGGAGGCGCGCAAAGGUUCCCUCAGCACGGUUGGAAAUCGUGCAUAGAGUGUAAAGGCAAUAAGGGAGCUUGACUGCAAGAGCAACAACUCAAGCAGGGACGAAAGUCGGCCUUAGUGAUCCGACGGCACUGCGUGGAAGGGCCGUCGCUCAACGGAUAAAAGUUACUCUAGGGAUAACAGGCUGAUCUCCUCCAAGAGUCCACAUCGACGAGGAGGUUUGGCACCUCGAUGUC